rnacentral:rRNA from 1 species
CCCUUAGAUGUUCUGGGCUGCACGCGCGCUACACUGAAGCGUUCAACGAGUAUUCACCUUGCCCGGGAGGGUUGGGUAAUCUUUUGAAAACGCUUCGUGAUGGGGAUAGAUGAUUGCAAUUAUUCAUCUUCAACGAGGAAUUCCUAGUAAACGCAAGUCAUCAGCUUGCAUUGAUUACGUCCCUGCCCUUUGUACACACCGCCCGUCGCACCUACCGAUUGAAUGGUCCGGUGAAAUCUUCGGAUCUGAGAGAUGUCUGAUUAAUUUCGGACGCCUUUUGGAAAAGUUGUUUAAACCUUACCAUUUAGAGGAAGGUGAAGUCGUAACA